rnacentral:lncRNA from 12 species
AUAUCCAAAAGCACCGACGGGAAUUCCUGACAUAGUUUACAUACUUCACACAGAAGCAACGCCAGAGCAGGAGACACGGUUUGGCACCCCAUGGCUGGGGCGGGGGCCUCUGUGAAUGACCAGCCAUGGGCAGAGGUAACCACAG